UUCGGUGGAAAGUUCAGUUCUGUAAAGAACUGUAUCUGGAAUUUUAAUAACUAAAUCUAAAUGAAAGAGGAUCGCUGUUUGCGUUGUUUAUAGCCGAUAUUUUUUAUGAAAAUACUACAAUCGGAGAGACUUUACAAUGUCCUCAUAUACUCAAUUGUGCCGUCUGAGUAAUUGUGUUAUUGGAAGUUAUAAAUCAAUUAUUCAUAGCAGAACAAAUUGGUUAGCUCCCGUACAAGCAUGCAACUAUACCAGAAAAUCAGCGGAAGACAAAUUGGGCCUAGAUAAGCCUAAGCGGCCGCUUACUCCAUUUUUCAAAUUCAUGGCACAGAUGAGGCCGGCUCUCCUGGCUAAGAACCCUGGUAUCAGCGCCAAGGACGCUAUAGCAUGGACUUCCAAACACUGGCAACAAUUAGAUAGCGAAACAAAAACGCAGAUGGCUAAAGAAUAUGAAAAAGAUCUUGAAGAUUACAGAAAAAUCAAAGCUAUGUAUGAAUCGUCACUCACAGAACAACAAAAGGCAGAUAUCAAGAGAGUGAAAGAGGAAAUGGCGAUGGCAAAAGAAAAACGGAAACUCAAAGCUGAAUAUAAAGAGUUAGGAAAGCCAAAGAAACCAAUGUCAUCAUACUUGUUGUAUAUAAAGUCAAGAAAGGACAGCAUCCAGGGUAAAACAUUGAAAGAAUACCAGGAACAGGUGAAAGCAGAUUGGUUCAGAUUAUCUGAAAGUGAUAAAGUAAAGUUUGAGAAGGAAGCACAGGCUCUUAUGAUGAAAUAUAAGAAAGAUAUGGAAGCGUGGGAACUGAAAAUGAUAUCACAGGGACGUGUCGACCUUGUUCGUUCAAAGCCUGUUCGAGAGAAAAAAACAAAGAGCUUAGAGAAAUCACAAUAGGAAUUCGGGUGCUCUGACGAAAUAAUUGACUCUACACUUAACACACUACCUAGUGAUAAGAAUAUAGACUUUAUACAAAGUAACAAUAAGGAUGUUAGUGCCACUAGUCCAGAGAAAUACACUAUUAGUGUUACUCACAGUAUUCCCGAAACAAGUGAAAAACAUGGUAAUACCGGGUCAAAUCGUCAGAGCACGGGUGAAAAGAAUGAACCUUCGAUAGUUCCUUCAAAAAAAUCUAGUGACAAAACAGAAACUAGCACAAUUAUACUAAUAGUAUAUUGAGGAGGCAACAAAUGAAAUCAUACCCAAUAUUCCAACCAUUUUUUAUUUCAAACGUGUUACAAAAUAUAAUUAAAAUAAAUCUUUUUAUUUAUAAU
rnacentral:misc_RNA from 1 species